rnacentral:misc_RNA from 1 species
GUCAAUUCAAGAUUUAGCUAGAACUAAAAUUCAAUUGCUAGCUUAAACUUUCCAUGAGGCUGCUCCCCUCUAUCUGGAUUCAUAUCAAUACCUUCUUCCUUGCAGGGGGUCAUUAGGCCCAAUGACCUUUUGUAAACUAAGACGUAGAAGCAAAACUGCUAUUUUAAGGCAUGUAAUAUAACUUCACUCCAUAUAAUAGAUCUCAAUAGGCCAGAAAUAUAGUAUAUUAAGCAAGCAUCACUAUUAAGUUCAAAAACACACUUAACAUUGCUAGCGCCUAACUGCCCUAUUCCAAAUGAUGAGCUACUACAAACAUAAUGCACCAUUGAUAUCAAAAUGAGAAGAUUUCACUCCCAUUCAAAUUUCAGAGUCCAUCAAUACAAAAUUAAAUCAAAUGACUAAGAAAAAUUCUUAAAACUAGAUAAAAUCAAAUAAGAAUUGGCACAUGUCAUGAUUAAGGAUGUUAGUGAGAGCUAAGUGAGUGAGCUGGCUAGUUGAGCAGAGAGUUGGUUAGUAAAUCAAUUAUAGGAUGGGGUGACUUGUAUAUAAAGAUUUUGCAUUGUAAUUGAUAAAAUCAAUCAUUAAUUCAAUAUGACAGAUAUUUUCUCUCUAAUUAUGGUUCUCUCUCUUAACUCCGCCUAAGUAGUUU